GUCACUUCGGAGACAUUCAAUAAAAUUGGAAAGAUACGGAAAAGUUUAACAUGGCUCCUGAGCAAAGAUGACACACAGAAAUCUAUAAAUGAUCCAACAAAAG
rnacentral:snRNA from 2 species